rnacentral:rRNA from 1 species
AUUGAACGCUGGCGGCAUGCCUUACACAUGCAGGUCGAACGGCAGCACGGGAGCAAUCCUGGUGGCGAGUGGCGAACGGGUGAGUAAAGUAUCGGAACGUGCCCAGUCGUGGGGGAUAACGUAGCGAAAGUUACGCUAAUACCGCAUACGAUCUAUGGAUGAAAGCGGGGGGUCGCAAGACCUCGCGCGAUUGGAGCGGCCGAUAUCAGAUUAGGUAGUUGGUGGGGUAAAGGCUCACCAAGCCGACGAUCUGUAGCUGGUCUGAGAGGACGACCAGCCACACUGGGACUGAGACACGGCCCAGACUCCUACGGGAGGCAGCAGUGGGGAAUUUUGGACAAUGGGCGAAAGCCUGAUCCAGCCAUGCCGCGUGCAGGAUGAAGGCCUUCGGGUUGUAAACUGCUUUUGUACGGAACGAAAAGGUUUGGGCUAAUAAGCUGAGCUCAUGACGGUACCGUAAGAAUAAGCACCGGCUAACUACGUGCCAGCAGCCGCAGUAA